AUGAAUCAGUACUAUGCUGACAUGGGAAGGAACUCUUGGAACUGUGACUUCUCUGCCUCUGCUCUUCUUGUUCUCUCUAACCCAAGUUAUGGUGGUUGCUCUUAUGCCUAGUGGAACUAAUAAAUGACUCGUGGCGAUAAAGAUCUGGGUUUUGAUAUAGCUAGUACUAAAGUAUGUUUAAAGUUGGAUACAGGCAUCAGUAUGUGUAAUCUAAUGAAUUUACAGUAAUAAAGUUGACAUCUUCGUGAAAA